GGCCAAGACAGAAGUGAGGCGUGAGUUGGCUUGGGAGUGUGGUUUGAUGUUAAUAACUACAUACAGAUGUAUGGUGAGAUGCUGGAGGGAGCUUUGAAUAGGUGUCUCCGGAAGGUGGUGAUUGACUCCGCUGUCCUGGCGUCGUGAGGGAGCUUGUUCCACCAUUGGGGUGCCAGAGCAGCGAACAGUUUUGACUGGGCUGAGCGGGAACUGUGCUUCCUCAGAGGUAGGGAGGCGAGCAGGCCAGAGGUGGAUGAACGCAGUGCCCUUGUUUGGGUGUAGGGCCUGAUCAGAGCCUGAAGGUACGGAGGUGCCGUUCCCCUCACAGCUCCGUAGGCAAGCACCAUGGUCUUGUAGCGGAUGCGAGCUUCAACUGGAAGCCAGUGGAGAGAGCGGAGGAGCGGCGUGACGUGAGAGAACUUGGGAAGGUUGAACACCAGACGGGCUGCGGCGUUCUGGAUGAGUUGUAGGGGUUUAAUGGCACAGGCAGGGAGCCCAGCCAACAGCGACAACAGCGAGUUGCAGUAAUCCAGACGGGAGAUGACAAGUGCCUGG
rnacentral:lncRNA from 1 species